CCCUUAGAUGUUCUGGGCCGCACGCGCGCUACACUGAUGCAUUCAACGAGCCUAUCCUUGACCGACAGGUCCGGGUAAUCUUUGAAUCUGCAUCGUGACGGGGAUAGAUUAUUGCAAUUAUUAAUCUUCAACGAGGAAUGCCUAGUAAGCACAAGUCAUCAGCUUGUGCUGAUUACGUCCCUGCCCUUUGUACACACCGCCCGUCGCUCCUACCGAUUGAAUGUUCCGGUGAGCUCUUCGGACUGCGCGGUCUGCAGUUUCUGCGUUCCGUGCGGAAAGUUGCGCAAACCUUAACAUUUAGAGGAAGGAGAAGUCGUAACA
rnacentral:rRNA from 1 species